rnacentral:rRNA from 1 species
CAGCAGCCGCGGGAAUACGAAGGGGGCUAGCGUUGCUCGGAAUGACUGGGCGUAAAGGGCGCGUAGGCGGCGGCCAAAGUCAGGCGUGAAAUUCCCGGGCUCAACCUGGGGGCUGCGUUUGAUACUUGGUUGCUUGAGUGGGGAAGAGGGUCGUGGAAUUCCCAGUGUAGAGGUGAAAUUCGUAGAUAUUGGGAAGAACACCGGUGGCGAAGGCGGCGACCUGGUCCUUGACUGACGCUGAGGCGCGAAAGCGUGGGGAGCAAACAGGAUUAGAUACCCCCGUAGUCCCUGUCUCUUAUAC